UGCCCAGACCUGCGGAAACCAUGUCCAGCUUGGAUUGCCCACGACACGUGCAAAAACGGUUUCCAUCCUCUUCCCAACUUUAUCAUUCUAGGGGGUUCUAACUUCUGCCUCCUUCCCUCCAAAUGGGUCUCUUCAGCCGAUACUCCAGGGGCCCCUUGGCCCCAGAGGCCACCAAUUCCUGUUUCAAAGUUUCCUCACGGCCUUUCUGAGGCUAAGAGUCUAGUGGAAGAGACUUCCAGGCAACUACAAUUUACAAAGUGACAGCUCCAAGACAGGACCCCAUGGACCACAGCCUGCCAGGCUCCCCCAUCCAUGGGAAGUGGUUCUCCCUCCAGCGUGUCAGAUGAGGACUCUCUUCACAUUUGGCUGUCAUCUAUCAGCCACGGCUGUCCUGGCCAGAAGCGCUGCAUUUGGCUUUCAAGCCCGCUUCCUGGCUUGUGUAUCUCCGCCACUCCAUUAAAGAUACCAUUUAAUAUCACAUGUGCUGCAAGCGCUGUUGAUGAAAGUACUAAAGCUGCUGGAUGUGAGUGACGUCUUUGGGAAGGACGAGACAGUGUGCCCAUGUGGUUGUUGUGUCCAAAUGCUGUCCUUAGCUUCCAGUGGAAAGUUAAACCCAUUAAACUCAACAGGAUAUAUCAGACAACGGACUAGAAUAAAUGGACUAUGGGGAAUAGAGGGAAAGUAUGGGAUAAAGAAAUAGGUCUUUUUGCCUCUCAGAGCCGUGAUUCAGUUCUGACUCAAAAGGAAGUGUGCCACCUACUGAAUCACGGAAACCACUUCCUGUAGCUGUUUGGUUUAUUCUGGAAGGGCAGCAGGCCAAGAACUGCCCUGCCCUGACCCUGACUGACUCUCCGGAGCCAACGCGUUCACAGCUUGAGAUGGUUUGGCCUCAGACUCUGAGAACAUAUUAAAUGACAAGUGUUUCGUAUCCUAGCAAGGAGUCUUCAGCAACAUGAAAACGAGCAUGGGCUAUUUGCAAACCAGGUGUAUCAUUACUCUACCUCCAUAUCCUUACUGUUUCACAAGGUAUGUGCUCCGGAUGACCACUCUCAGGAUCUGAAUGCACACUGGUUCUGUGUUUCCUGAGGGCAACUUGGGCAGCCUGUAGCGUGGCAUUUCCCCAGAUGAAGUGGCAAGAGUACCCUUCCAUCAGUGCAGCAACACUAGAUUUGUACUCAUUCAUUCAGUGUGUUUUGGAGCACAUGUUCAGGGCUACAGACCGUGCUGGGGAAGGAGUAGAGGAUACAGGGGCAAACAAGAUCUUCCAGCUCCUGACCUUAUGAUACUGAUGUUCUAUGCUUUAUGGAAAUUAUACUCGCCCUCCAGAGGCAGGGGCUGUGCUUUGUAAACCAUGAAAAGGAACAUCAACUAAAGGAAAACUGUAUUUCCUCUCUACCCACAGAGCGUUCC